GCCAGCAGUCAUAUCACCCUGCAACUCACAACUGGCAACCCACUGAAGCUAAGCAGGUGUGAGCCUGGUCAGUACCUGGAUGGGAGACCUCCUUGGAAAAACUAAGGUUGCUGCUGGAA
ensembl:rRNA 5S_rRNA 5S ribosomal RNA